rnacentral:rRNA from 1 species
UACAGAGGGUGCGAGCGUUAAUCGGAAUUACUGGGCGUAAAGCGUGCGUAGACGGCUAUCUAAGUCGGGUGUGAAAGCCCCGGGCUCAACCUGGGAAUUGCAUUUCGAGACUGAAUAGCUAGGGUACGGUAGAGGGAAGCGGAAUUUCCGGUGUAGCGGUGAAAUGCGUAGAUAUCGGAAGGAACAUCAGUGGCGAAAGCGGCUUCCCUGGACCAGUACCGACGUUCAGGCACGAAAGCGUCGGGGAGCAAACACGG